rnacentral:rRNA from 1 species
UACGAAGGGGGCUAGCGUUGUUCGGAAUUACUGGGCGUAAAGCGCGCGCAGGCGGCUAUCCAAGUCAGUGGUGAAAGCCCGGAGCUCAACUCCGGAACUGCCAUUGAAACUGUUUAGCUUGAGGACGAGAGAGGUGAGUGGAAUUCCGAGUGUAGAGGUGAAAUUCGUAGAUAUUCGGAGGAACACCAGUGGCGAAGGCGGCUCACUGGCUCGAUACUGACGCUGAGGUGCGAAAGCGUGGGGAGCAAACAGG